UUGUGUGGUGGAUGGGAGAGAUGGAUGGAUGUGAAAGACCCCCGAAGGGAGCCCCCCACUCAAGUCUCGGGAAAGACGCGCACCCAGUAGGACACAGACACCG
rnacentral:pre_miRNA from 14 species